rnacentral:rRNA from 1 species
CUAAGGCUCCAGAGGAAGCCACGGCUAACUCUGUGCCAGCAGCCGCGGUAAUACAGAGGCGGCAAGCGUUGUUCGGAAUUAUUGGGCGUAAAGAGCACGUAGGCGGCCUUGCAAGUCAGUUGUGAAAGCCUUCCGCUUAACGGAAGAAUGCCAGCUGAUACUACAGGGCUUGAGUACGGGGGGGGAGAGUGGAACUUCUGGUGGAGCGGUGAAAUGCGUAGAUAUCAGAAGGAACGCCGGCGGCGAAAGCGACUCUCUGGCCCGAAACUGACGCUGAGUGUGCGAAAGCUAGGGGAGCAAACGGGAUUAGAUACCCCGGUAGUCCCAGCCGUAAA